rnacentral:rRNA from 1 species
AGAGUUUGAUCAUGGCUCAGAACGAACGCUGGCGGCAGGCUUAAUACAUGCAAGUCGAACGGGCGUAGCAAUACGUCAGUGGCAGACGGGUGAGUAACGCGUGGGAACGUACCCCUCGGUUCGGAAUAACUCAGGGAAACUUGAGCUAAUACCGGAUACGGCUGAGAGGCGAAAGAUUUAUCGCCGAGGGAUCGGCCCGCGUCCGAUUAGCUAGUUGGUGAGGUAAUGGCUCACCAAGGCGACGAUCGGUAGCGGGUCUGAGAGGAUGAUCAGCCACAUUGGGACUGAGACACGGCCCAAACUCCUACGGGAGGCAGCAGUAGGGAAUAUUGGACAAUGGGCGAAAGCCUGAUCCAGCCAUGCCGCGUGAGUGAUGAAGGCCUUAGGGUUGUAAAGCUCUUUCGUCAGGGACGAUAAUGACGGUACCUGAAGAAGAAGCCCCGGCUAACUUCGUGCCAGCAGCCGCGGUAAUACGAAGGGGGCUAGCGUUGUUCGGAAUCACUGGGCGUAAAGCGCAUGUAGGCGGGUCUUUAAGUCAGGGGUGAAAUGCCAAGGCUCAACCUUGGAACUGCCUUUGAUACUGGAGACCUUGAGUCCGGGAGAGGUGAGUGGAACUGCGAGUGUAGAGGUGAAAUUCGUAGAUAUUCGCAAGAACACCAGUGGCGAAGGCGGCUCACUGGCCCGGUACUGACGCUGAGAUGCGAAAGCGUGGGGAGCAAACAGGAUUAGAUACCCUGGUAGUCCACGCCGUAAACGAUGGAUGCUAGCCGUUAGGCAGCUUGCUGCUUAGUGGCGCAGCUAACGCUUUAAGCAUCCCGCCUGGGGAGUACGUCGCAAGAUUAAAACUCAAAGGAAUUGACGGGGGCCCGCACAAGCGUGGAGCAUGUGGUUUAAUUCGAAGCAACGCGCAGAACCUUACCAGCUUUUGACAUGCCCUGGACGGUUACCAGAAAAUGGCUC